rnacentral:rRNA from 1 species
UACGUAGGUGGCAAGCGUUGUCCGGAUUUACUGGGCGUAAAGAGCGCGCAGGCGGUCGUUCAAGUCGCGUGUGAAAGCCCCCGGCUCAACUGGGGAGGGUCACGCGAUACUGAUCGACUCGAAGGCAGGAGAGGGUAGUGGAAUUCCCGGUGUAGUGGUGAAAUGCGUAGAUAUCGGGAGGAACACCAGUGGCGAAGGCGACUACCUGGCCUGUUCUUGACGCUGAGGAGCGAAAGUGUGGGGAGCGAACAGG